AGCAACUUGGCGCAGGGGUAGCGCGCGGGGCUCAUAUCGACGGUCAGCGACCUCGAGAUUAUGUAACCCCGAGGUCACUCGAUCGAAACGAGUAGUUGCUA